rnacentral:rRNA from 1 species
GCAAGUCGAACGCGAACGUCUUCUUCGGAAGGCUAGUAGAGUGGCGCACGGGUGAGUAACGCGUAAGUAAUCUACCCUCUCAUUCGGGAUAACGCAGCGAAUGGUGUGCUAAUACCGAAUACGUCUAUUUUAAUAUCUUUUUUUUAGAGAAAGCUGGCCUCUUCUAGAAAGCUACUGUGCGGGGAGGAGCGUGCGUACCAUUAGCUAGUUGGUAGGGUAACGGCCUACCAAGGCUACGAUGGUUAGCGGGUCUGAGAGGAUGAUC